GACGAACGCUGGCGGCGUGCCUAAUACAUGCAAGUUGAGCGAUGAAGAUUGGUGCUUGCACCAAUUUGAAGAGCAGCGAACGGGUGAGUAACGCGUGGGGAAUCUGCCUUUGAGCGGGGGACAACAUUUGGAAACGAAUGCUAAUACCGCAUAACAACUUUAAACAUAAGUUUUAAGUUUGAAAGAUGCAAUUGCAUCACUCAAAGAUGAUCCCGCGUUGUAUUAGCUAGUUGGUGAGGUAAAGGCUCACCAAGGCGAUGAUACAUAGCCGACCUGAGAGGGUGAUCGGCCACAUUGGGACUGAGACACGGCCCAAACUCCUAAGGGAGGGAGCAGUAGGGAAACUUCGGCAAUGGAGGAAAGGCUGAACGGGCAACGCCGCGUGAGUGAAGAAGGUUUUCGGAUCGUAAAACUCUGUUGGUAGAGAAGAACGUUGGUGAGAGUGGAAAGCUCAUCAAGUGACGGUAACUACCCAGAAAGGGACGGCUAACUACGUG
rnacentral:rRNA from 1 species